rnacentral:rRNA from 1 species
GACGAACGCUGGCGGCGUGCCUAAUACAUGCAAGUCGAACGCACAGUUUAUACCGUAGCUUGCUACACCAUAUACCGUGUGUUGCGAACGGGUGAGUAACGCGUAGGUAACCUGCCUGUUAGCGUGAGACAACUAGUGGCAACGAUAGCUAAUAUCGCUUACUUUUGAUUAUUCCAUGAUCUUUGUUUGUAAGUUGCUAUUGCAUUGCUACCCGAUGGCGCCGCGUUGUAUGAGCUAGUAGGGGAGGUUACGGCCCAUCUAGGCUGGGAGACAUACCCGAUCUGAGAGGGGGCGCGGACACGCUGGGACUGAGACACGGCCCAGACUACUGCGGGAGGCAGCAGUAGGGAAUCUUCGGCAAUGGACGAAAGUCUGACCGAGGAGCGACGCGCGAGUGAAGAAGGCAUUCGGGUCGUAAGGCUCUGUUGUAAGAGAAGAACGGGUGUGAGAGUGGAAAGUUCACACUGUGACGGUAUCUGACCAGAAAGCGACGGCUAACUACGUG